AAUUUGGAGAGAGAUAGACACAUA
rnacentral:miRNA from 1 species